UGCUGGGGAAAGAAAAUGAAUAAGGAAGACUCUUUAAAAAGAGUGAGGAUUGAAUAGAUGAAGAGUACAUGUUGCUGCACAGUUGAAGGCAUGGGGUGAAUAGGACUAAGCAUGGAGGAUAGGACUAGUGAACAAGAGGCAUGGCUGCUGCCAAAACGUGUGCUGCAGAAUUGUCUUUGCUGCUGUACUUGCAGCAGCUACCAAAAGGAGUUGAG
rnacentral:lncRNA from 1 species